AUAUAAUUAAUAUAAUAUAAUUAAUAUAAUAACUAAAGCAAAAGAAUUGCCUGAAUUCAACCUGCUCACAGGUCAAAAAAAGCAUGGGAGGAGCAUCCAUCCACUUAAAUACCAAUAAUAUGAUCUCGCCAAUGUGGAGAUGCAGGAGAGAUUAAAUGGAAUGUUGGGAAAUACUAAGGGACUUCUGGGAGGUGAAGUCCAAAGAUUCUAAUUCAUAAAAUGGAUAUAAGGGAUCUCUAAGGAGGACAUUAGAUUUCUUCUUAAAGUUUGGUCAGGAAGUCACGGGUUCAAACCCCAGCCCUGAUGGCUUGGGAUCGUUAGGCCAGAUUGUAGUUGCUUAGGGAACUCUGGGUCCAUUCAGACUAAUCAUCUCCUAUUAACAAACAGGAUCCUUUUUGGCUCUGUGUACCAGACACAUAAUGGGCACUUAAUAAAAUGCUCCUUGACUUGAGUGACUUGCCUAAAAAAUCAAGUAAGCUUCAGAGGUGAGAUUUGAAUCCUGGUGUUCUGACAUCAGAAUAAGUGAGAUUUCCAGGUCCACAGCACACACAACUUGUGUGACCUGGAGGUUCUGAGUAUUCUAAAUGGGUCAGGGCAAAUGCAAUAGAUUACUAGAUUGGCAUUGAAAAUCCUCACAAUUUGAACCGCUUCAGGCCAGAGGCACACACUUGGCCUCCUCUUCCUUUAAUUGACCAAAGACAAUUCCAUAACUAAACUGUGUUCCUCACAUUCUCUUGGAACUUACAAUUAUGGUGUCAUCAGCAUUGAAUCUCUUUCCCCUGGCCAGACCCUUUUGGUCACUGUAAGGACCAUGAAGGCAGGAGCUGGAUAUGAUUUCAAUGUUGUAUUUCUUCUAAUGUUUAGCACGUUUGUUGAAGUGGUGAUGAAGGCUGGUUCUAGCAAUGUGAAACAAGAGAAGGAAUUGCUCUAAACUACUCAGGAAUUUGGAUGGCAUCUCAGUUCUUCAACCUCUUCAUUAAAAUAAAACAACACUGUUAAUACA
rnacentral:lncRNA from 1 species